UUACUACCGCUUAGUAUGUCAGUUGUCGUCGUCAUGAAUUCUAGUCUUGAAAUGAACAUUUAAUGACUUAUGAUUGAUGGGAGAUUGUGCGGGCUGUUUUCGGCCAAUUGGGAGAAAAAUUGUGAAUUGUUUAGAAUGUCCUAGAAUAUUGUGGUAAAGACUCGGGUUGAUAAUUAAAUGUGUGAGCGAUGUGGUGGCUUGAAUGUGAGCCGUUGAAUUAAAUAUUUGGAAAGUUGUCGAAUGAUGAAAAAGAGAGCUAUUAAUGUUAUUUUGCCUUCCGAAUUUAUUAUUGAUGGUUCUAGAUUGGUUAUUGUGGUUGUUGUUGUUGAUUUUAAGCGAGAUAAAUUCUCGGGAUGGCCUAUUUACAGGGGAAGUGCUGCCGAAUUUUCUGUAGAAUUUAGAGUUAGUUGGAAUGAAAAAUUUCUUAAUAUGCCUAUGGUUAAUAUUGGAUAUUCAUUGGCACAUUUUGUAGACCUUGGGGAGCCCGAGGCGUAAAUUUGGAGUAGCUUUAGAUUGGCUAGCUUGGAAGUGCGUUCGAGGUACAGACGCACAGUUCGGUGAUCCCCUAGUGUAGGAUACCCCUUUUGCUGUUGGAGUGCUCCCCUCCCUUCAGAGCGCAUCUUUUGGUAUACACUUUUGUUCGCUAUGUUGUAUAUAUUCGUUCAUGGGUACGGCGGGGCCCUGUUCCGCCAUAUGAUUCGUUUGGUCUGUUUAGAGGUCUGUAGACUUAUUUGUGGGUGUGUGUGCCUACUUCUGCUCAGUUGUGUUUAUAUGAUUCUACCCGUUGUGGCAGCCUCGUCGGCAUGCAUUUUGUAUAUGUUUAUGGCAGCCUUGUCGGCUCGAACAUGUAUAUGUUGUUCUGUUGGCCCUGUGUGGCCUUUGUGGUA